GGUCCCUGUAGCGCAAUGGAUAGUGCGUGGGAUUUCUAAUUCAAAGGCCGUGGGUUCGAAUCCCACCUGGGCCG
rnacentral:tRNA from 1 species